GGGAUCGUGGCGGAACAGGUAGACGCAACGGACUUAAAAUCCGUCGGUCAUUGCGACCGUGAGGGUUCGAUUCCCUCCGUUCCCACCA
rnacentral:tRNA from 1 species